rnacentral:rRNA from 1 species
AAUGGACGCAAGUCUGAUCCAGCCAUGCCGCGUGAAUGAAGAAGGCCUUAGGGUUGUAAAGUUCUUUCAGUCGUGACGAUGAUGACGGUAGCGACAGAAGAAGCCCCGGCUAACUCCGUGCCAGCAGCCGCGGUAAUACGGAGGGGGCAAGCGUUGUUCGGAAUUACUGGGCGUAAAGGGUGCGCAGGCGGCGUCGCCAGUCAGGUGUGAAAUCCCCGGGCUCAACCCGGGAACUGCACUUGAUACUGCGAUGCUAGAGUUCGGAAGAGGGUAGUGGAAUUCCCAGUGUAGAGGUGAAAUUCGUAGAUAUUGGGAAGAACACCAGUGGCGAAGGCGGCUACCUGGUCCGAUACUGACGCUGAGGCACGAAAGCGUGGGGAGCAAACAGGAUU